AGUUUACAAAUAUCGUAUAGACAAUCUCCCGGUUCAGCCAAAAAAUCACGAGUUCACAACUUGGGCGAUCUUAGCUUCAAAUACGUA